CGCUCUGCCCCCGGCGCCACCAGCGCCGUACGUGCUGCCAGCAGCCGCCGCCCCACCACACGCAGCCUUGGGUCUGGCUACGCCAUUGUACGAGCCACCUACCGUGGUGGCCAAGCCGCCGCCACCGCCACCUCCACUGGCAAGCUUAGUGACCUCGGCGCCUCUGUACGACGCCGCGGCCGCCGUGGUCGCGGCCACCGCAAGCACCGGCGCUGCCCUCGGCGUCGUGGGCGGCGCGACCAGCGGUGGCAGCAGCAGCAGCAGCAGCGCCAGCCGGCUCACGCCCGAGCUGCAGGCGGUUGCGGCCAGUCCAGUGCCACUGGACUAUUCGUCCCAGGCGGACUUCGGCGAGGAGUACAUCGACGUUCAGGGAACCGCCACCCCCGGACUACCAGGACACUCCUGAAUGCGGCUACAGCUGCCCGAGCAGGAUUUAGACAGGUGACGUGUCAGAAGAGAAAUGCAUCGCACGUGACUACUCCGAGGGCUUCUUUCAUAGCGUCACGAUUCAUCCCUACGUCGUUUCGUUGGCUGUGAUAAGGCGCGGGUAACGAGCACGUGAGGAGUCUCGGUCGCCUCUAUCUUGUGGUACUCCCUGACGCACGGAUCAGUUUAUUUUCCUUGUUGCCUCGCUACUCUCUUUUACUUCCUCUAAAACACCUUCCUUUCAAUGAUUUCUAUGCGCGAAUCGGGAAUAUUCUGCGAAGACCAUAGGCUACCACUUGACUUGGCGCACCUCUUAGUUGGCGCAAACUUCCCUUCUGACGCAACUUCCGUCACCGUUCUCACCUGCUCAGUAUAAGGAAACAUAACUUGAAGAGUGAACGCACAAGUUUCCACUGCACCUAACUUCGAAGCCAAGUUGUCCACGCGCGUUACGAAAUGUUUUUCCGACUACCUCUUGACUAUUGGUGACAGGUGCUGAUUGUAACUAUACUGGUGGCAAGUAGUGAAUGCGGCGAUAAUUCGCUACAGCUGAAGCGCCAGUCGUAGUUCUGACUUAAGAACUCUUGAACUCACGAUGAAUAUAGUCUACGUGGACUGCGUGAGUCAUUUCCUGGCUAUCCCAGAACUAUCAGUGAUAGGCGGGCGUCUUAACUGUACCCGCCGAUGUGUGGUGACUGUUCACCACAGCUUAUGUACGAAUUGAAUGUUGUAGCUUCUGCAGCAAUCGCGAGCACGGCACUUCGCUUUU